rnacentral:rRNA from 1 species
GUCGAACGGUAAUCCCGCCUUCGGGCGGGAACGAGUGGCGCACGGGUGCGUAACACGUAUGCAACCUACCCUUAACUGGGGAAUAACCCUGUGAAAGCGGGGCUAAUACCCCAUAAUAUUAUGGUAAGGCAUCUUACUAUUAUCAAAGAUUUAUCGGUUAGGGAUGGGCAUGCGCCCCAUUAGUUAGUUGGUUAGGUAACGGCUAACCAAGACUGUGAUGGGUAGGGGUUCUGAGAGGAUUAUCCCCCACACUGGUACUGAGACACGGACCAGACUCCUACGGGAGGCAGCAGUAAGGAAUAUUGGGCAAUGGACGCAAGUCUGACCCAGCCAUGCCGCGUGCAGGAUGACGGCCUUAUGGGUUGUAAACUGCUUUUGUAUGGGAUUAAAGUGUUGUACGUGUACGACAUUGCAAGUACCAUACGAAUAAGCAUCGGCUAACUCCGUGCCAGCAGCCGCGGUAAUACGGAGGAUGCAAGCGUUAUCCAGAAUCAUUGGGUUUAAAGGGUGCGUAGGUUGAUUAUUAAGUCAGUGGUGAAAAUUCCAGGCUCAACCCGGGACUUGCCGUUGAAACUGAUAAUCUUGAGUGUAACUGAUGUGGGCGGAAUGUGUCAAGUAGCGGUGAAAUGCUUAGAUAUGACACAGAACACCGAUAGCGAAGGCAGCUCACAAAAUUACAACUGACACUGAGGCACGAAAGCGUGGGUAUCAAACAGGAUUAGAUACCCUGGUAGUCCACGCUGUAAACGAUGAUCACUAGCUGUUUGCGAUACAUUGUAAGUGGUUAAGCGAAAGCGAUAAGUGAUCCACCUGGGGAGUACGUCGGCAACGAUGAAACUCAAAGGAAUUGACGGGGGCCCGCACAAGCGGAGGAGCAUGUGGUUAAUUCGAUGAUACGCGAGGAACCUUACCUGGGCUUGAACGUAUGGUGCAUGAGUGUGAAAGCACUCUUUCCUUCACAGGACUUCAUACGAGGUGCUGCAUGGUUGUCGUCAGCUCGUGCCGUGAGGUGUUAGGUUAAGUCCUGCAACGAGCGCAAC